GAUGAACGCUAGCUACAGGCCUAACACAUGCAAGUCGAGGGACCGGCGCACGGGUGAGUAACACGUAUCCAACCUGCCCUUUACUCGGGGAUAGCCUUAAGAAAGAAAGAUUAAUACACAAUAUAAAGGAUGGGGAUGCGUUCAAGUAGGUUGUUGGGGAGGUAAAGGCUCACCAAGCCUUCGAUGGAUAGGGGUUCGGAGAGGAAGGUCCCCUACAUUGGAACUGCGACACGGUCCAAACUCCUACGGGAGGGAGCAGUGAGGAAUAUUGGGCAAUGGGCGCUAGCCUGACCCAGCCAAGUAGCGUGAGGAAGGAAGGCUUAUGGGUGGUAAACUUCUGUUAUAGAAGAAUAGGUAUUAUAUGAAUAAGGAGCGGCUAACUCCGUGCCAGCCGCCGCGGUAAUUC
rnacentral:rRNA from 1 species